GCUGGGGGCACAGUGGCCCUUGCCUGUAGUCCCAGCUACUAGGGAGGCUGAGGCUGGAGGAUCGUUUGAGCCCAGGAGUUCUGGGCUGUAAUGCGCUAUGCCGAUCAGGUGUCCACACUGAGUUCAGCAUCAAUAUGGUGACCUACCAGGUUGCAUAAGGAGGGGUAAACCAGCCCAGGUCGGAAACGGAGCAGGUCAAAACUCCCAUGCUGAUCAGUAGUGGGAUAGCACCUGUGAAUAGCCACUGCACUCCAGCCUGGGCAACAUAGUGAGACCCUGUCUCUU
ensembl:misc_RNA Metazoa_SRP Metazoan signal recognition particle RNA